rnacentral:rRNA from 1 species
CGGACGGGUGAGUUACGCGUAGGUAAUCUGCGUUUAGGUUAUGGAUAACAAAUGGAAACGUUUGCUAAUAUGUCAUAUCGCUUUGAAUUUUUCUGAGUGAAAGAAGUUUUUCGCCUAAACAUGAGCUUGCGUUUGAUUAGCUAGUUGGUGGGGUAACGGCUUACCAAGGCGAUGAUCAAAAGCUGUUUUGAGAAAAUGAACAGCCACACUGGGACUGAGAUACGGAACAGACUCUUACGGGAGGCAGCAGUGGGGAAUAUUUGGCAAUGAGCGAAAGCUUGACCAAGCAAUGCCGCGUGAAGGAUGAAGGCCUUUGGGUUGUAAACUUCUUUUCUCAUUGAAGAAGUUCUGACGGUAUUUGAGGAAUAAGCAUCGGCUAAUUUCGUGCCAGCAGCCGCGGUAAUACGAGAGAUGCGAGCGUUAUCUGGAAUUAUUGGGCGUAAAGCGUCUGUAGAUGGUUUACUAAGUUUAAUGUUAAAUUUUAAAGCUUAACUUUAUAAAGGCAUUAAAAACUGGUAGACUCGAGUACAAUAGAGGUAAAGGGAAUUUUCAGUGUAGCGGUGAAAUGCGUAGAUAUUGAAAGGAACGCCAAUGGCGAAAGCACUUUACUAGGUUGAUACUGACAUUGAGAGACGAAAGCUAAGGUAGCAAAACAGAUUAGAUACCUGUGUAGUCUUAGCCGUAAACGAUGGAUACUAAGUGAUAUAAUUUGUAUUGCUGUAGCUAACGCGUUAAGUAUCCCGCCUGGGGAGUAUGCUUGCAGUAGUGAAACUCAAAGGAAUUGACGGGGGCCCGCACAAGCGGUGGAGCAUGUGGUUUAAUUCGAUG